rnacentral:rRNA from 1 species
CCCUUAGAUGUUCUGGGCCGCACGCGUGCUACACUGAACGGUUCAAUGGGUAAGGUAGUGCGAAAGCAUGACCUAAUCUCGAAAUCCGCUCGUGCUGGGGAUAGAAGCUUGCAAUUAUCCUUCUUGAACGAGGAAUACCUUGUAAGCGUGAGUCAUCAUCUCACGCUGAAUACGUCCCUGCCCUUUGUACACACCGCCCGUCGCUCCUACCGAUUGAGUGUUCCGGUGAGGCUUUGGGAGAAUGGCCUCAACAUGAGUUUAUCGUGUUUUGCCGUUUGAACUUAGUCAAACCUUAUCACUUAGAGGAAGGAGAAGUCGUAACA